rnacentral:misc_RNA from 1 species
GGAAGUAAAAGUCGUAACAAGAUCUCCGUUGGUGAACCAGCGGAGGGAUCAUUACCGAGUUCCAGCAACUCCCAACCCUUGCGAACCGUACCCCAGUCUGUUCUCGUUGCUUCCGGCAGGCGGGGGGGGCCACCUGGCCCCUCCCCCUGCCGGGGGCGGCGGGCCCUCUGAGCCUUUAUAUCUCAACCACUGAAACCCGUCUGAGCAAAACAAAAAAUAAUCAAAACUUUCAACAACGGAUCUCUUGGCUCUG